rnacentral:SRP_RNA from 1 species
ACUGUGCAUGACGCUUGUGUCUGUAGUCCUGGCUACUUGGAAGGCCGAGGUGGGAGAUUGCUGGAGCCCACCCAUUCUGGGCUGUAGUAUGCAGUGCUAAUCCUGUGUGUACACUGAGUUCGGCAUCAGUAUGGUGACCUGGGAGCUAGGGACCACCAGGUUGCCUAAGGAAGGGGGUGAACCCGUCCAACCUGGAAACAGCAGUCAGAACUCCUGUGCUGAUCAGCAGUGGGAGCAGGGCUGUAAGUAGCCACUGCCCUCCAGCCUAGCAACACAGCCAGACCUGUCUCUU